AACCUGUAUGUAAAAACAAGAAGAUUGUACAUUAAAUUAUAUAUACACACACACAUAUAUAUGCAUACACACACAUAUAUACAUAUAUACAUGUGGGGUGGUUCUGUGGGGUGAUAGACACAUUUGAUGUUUUAUACACGUAGAACAUCUUUUUUUUUUUUUUUUUAGGUUUUCAAGACAGAGUUUCUCUGUGUAGCCCUGGCUGUCCUGGAACUCACUCUGUAGACCAAGCUGGCCUUGAACUCAGAAAUCCACCUGCCUCUGCCUCCCGAGUGCUGGGAUUAAAGGCAUACGCCACCAAUGCCCGGCUAGAGCAUCUUUUAUUCUUUGACAAGUUCAGCUAUAUAAAUGUUUUUGAUCAUGUCCACUCUCCCUAUCUCCUCCUCCAUUUCUCCCCAGGCUACCCACUUUAUUUCCUCCUCCUCCUCUCUGUAUUUUAACGGUGAGUACAAUUAAUGGUGCCUUUAUUCACAUGAGUGUGGAGUCACCCCUGGAGCCUAGCAACCUCCCAAGGGCUACACUUUCAAGGAAAAAAUGACUUUCCUUCCUUCAGAAGUCAUCAAUUGCCAGUCUCUCUCCUCAGGCCCUCAGGCCCCUCCUUGAUCCACUGGAAAUCUACGGCUUGAUCUUAUGCAGGGACUACAAGGACUGUGAAUUCAUGAGUGGGAUGGCGUGUCAUGUAUGGAACACAGUAUUUCACAGAACUCCCCCCACAUCCUCCAGCUCUUACAUUCGUUCUUCAGCCUCUUUCUCAAGGUUUCCUGAACCUUGGAUGGGAGAUGACAAAUCCUAUUCUUCGUCAACCAAAAAGAUACUGCUUUAAAAGUGCAUCUGGGGCUGGUGAAAUGGCUCAGUGGGUAAGAGCACCUGACUGCUUUCCGAAGGUCUGGAGUUCAAAUCCCAGCAACCACAUGGUGGCUCACAAUCAUCUGUAACAAGAUCUGACACCCUCUUCUGGUGUGUCUGAAGACAGUGUACUUACAUAUAAUAAAUAAAUAAAUCUUUUUUAAAAAAGUGCAUCUGGUCUGUUACUUGUCCUUCUGACUUUUAAAGUGUAAAAACAUCUUGUAAGGCCAUUUUGGUAGCAGCGAACAAAACCUUUAAAAAAUGCAUGUUUAACUUACAAUUUGAAAGGUAUCUGAAAAGCCAUUUUCUCUAUCCCCACUGCUUUAAGGUGAUAGUGAAGCCCUGGGUGGAUGUCCUAAGAUCCCAAAGGAAGAUUAUUGGUUCUCUUCAGCCUCGUAAAUGGCUGCAGCGUGUGGGAUACCAACACCAGCACUGAUGUCUACAGUCUCAAAUGCUGAAUGGAGAUCCCUCAGAAGGCCUGGGCCUUUGGGAAGACUUUCAAUUGAAAAUAGGGGAUUUCUUUUACUAGGAACCAACAAUUUCUAAAUAGUGGUUUACUUCUUUUUUGUUUUUUGUUUUUUUGUUUUUUCGAGACAGGGUUUCUCUGUAUAGCCCUGGCUGUCUUGGAACUCACUUUGUAGACCAGGCUGGCCUCGAACUCAGAAAUCCGCCUGCCUCUGCCUCCCAAGUGCUGGGAUUAAAGGCGUGCGCUACCACGCCUGGCUAGUGGUUUACUUCUUAUACUACUUAUAAAUAAAUCUUUGGGCCAGAGCAAGUAGGGACUGAGUGAGCUGGGUUGACUGGAGCGAGCAGAGGUCCUAAAAAUUCAAUUCCCAACAGCCAUAUGAAGGCUCACAACAAUCUGUAUAGCUACAGUGUACUCAUAUACAUAAAAUAAAUAAAUCUUCAAGAAAAAAAAAUUAAACAAAAUCCAAAACCCAAGAACACCAGUUCUUAGCCAUGGCCAUGGAAGAACCAAUGAACUACCUGCUACCUGCUGACUGCCACUUCAGAAGACGCUGACAAAACUGUCUAUUUAGUUUACUAUUAGAAAAUCUGAUAUUCAUUUGAAUAUUCCAGGUAUGCACAUAGUGCACAGACAUAAAUACUGUUUUCCUGAAAAGAAUGAACCAAAAAGUAUUUUCUGUCUUCUUAAAGACUUAUGUUUAUUUUCUUUGUGUAUGUCCGAGUGCCUGCAUGGCAGGGUGUGAUAUGCUUGGCUCAGGGAGCGGCACUAUUUGGAGGUAUGGCCUUGUUGGAGGAAGUGUGUCACUGUGGGGGGUGGGUUUUGUUUUUCUGUUCAUCUUCAGAACAAGAUAUAGAACUUUCAGCUCCUCCAGCACCAUGCCUGCCUGGAUACUGCCAUGCUUCCCACCAAGAUGAUAAUGGACUGAACCUCAGAACCUGUAAGCCAGCUCUCAACUAAAUGUUGUCCUUAUAAGAGUUGGCUUGGUCAUGGUAUCUCUUCUCAGCAUUAAAACCCUAGCUAACUAAGACCUGAGAAGACAAAAGAAGGCAUCUUUUGGAGCCUUCUCCUGGAGCUACAGUUACAAACAGGUGAGUCCCACUGUGGGUGCCAAACCCAGUCUCCUGCACAAACAGCAAGUGUUCUUAACUUUGCCAUCGCUCCAGUCCCAUUUGUUGUCUUCUUUUAACAAGUGUUUACUAAUGUGACUUAACUGUAAAGUGAUACAGGUUCCUUUUGAGCCCAAGAGUUCAAAUAGUAUGGUUUUCACAGUAAUAAAAUAGGUUUUCUUUUCUCCCCCAGUUUGACUUGAGAUGUAAUUUUCAUGCAGCAAAACUGAGCAUUUUUAGUAUAAAUUCUGACACUGUAUUUGAUUACAUAAGCAUCCUCCCCCCCCUACAAAACAGGCAGCCCACUACCUCCUAUAUCCUUUCAUCCUCUAUAGAACAGGCAGCCCACACUUCCUAUAUCCUUUCAUGUCUUUCAACCAGCUCAAGCCUUCCCUCACUGCCAGGUAACGGCAAUCUUGUAACUAUUGUUCCUUUUAAAAAAUAUUUUUCAUAUUUUGCCUGUAUGUAUACAUACCUGUAUGUAUGUUUCCGUAUGUGUGUAUAUAUGUACGUACAUAGGUAUGUGUAUCAUGUGUGUACAUGGUUUCCAAGGAAGCCAGAAGAGGGGAUCAGAUCCUGAGACUGGAGUUACAGAGGUGAGGUGUUACCAUGUUGGUGCUGAAAAUCAAAUCUGGGUUCUCUGUUAGAGCAGCCAGUAUUCUUAAUACCUGAGUCACACACACUGCCUCCCUUGCUUAAAUUGUAUUUGUUCAUUUUCUGUGUAUAAAGUGUUUUGUAUGUCUAUGUAUCAUAUGGAUACCUCAUGCCUUUGGAUGCUCUGAGUCUGGGGUUACAGACAGUUGCGAGCAGCCAUGUGGGUGCUGGGAAUUGCUCUUAACCACUGAGCCAUCUCUUCUAUUGCCCUUGUUUUGUUUUUGUAAGACAGGGUCUCACUUGGUAGUACAGGCUAGUCUCAAAUUGGCAAUCCUCUAGCCUUAGCCUCCUGAGCACUGGAGUUAUUGGCAUGUAUACUAUGGAGUGUACUACAUACCUGGCUUCACAAUUUUACUGUGAAUUAAAAAUUAAAAUACCAAUGAUGCUAUUGAUACUAAAUUCUGACUUGACUUUCUAAUAUAAAGUCAUAUAUCACAAAUGGGGGCAAUCUGACCCAAAGGCCGUACCCUAACCAUUGCCUAGGUUGGUAAAUCAAGCAACAGUCAUGCUCGCUCCUUUACUAUGCGGUGGCGGCUAUCAUACUACAACUGCAGUGAGUGAGUGGUGUGGAACCCUGCAAAGCCUCCACACAGGGAAACUGCGGGCUGCUAUGUUUUCCUGCUGGCCGUGUUUGCCCUUCUUCUGGGCACAUCUGUUUAUACACGUCUGACUCCCUUUUCUGUUGCUGUCGACUUUGACUUGAUGCUAACAUGGAGCCACUGCAGACCCCACAUAAGGAGCAGGUAAGUUGAUGGUACUUCUCUCUCCAAUUCCACACAAUCUAGACCCGAGACGCAAGUUUGCUGAAUAAACUCUACACUGAAGUGAUGGA